AGCUCCAAUAGCGUAUAUUAAAGUUGUUGCGGUUAAAAGCUCGUAGUUGGAUUUCUGUUGGAGACCGCCGGUCCGUUCUUUGAACGUGUAUCUGGUUUGACUCCGACAUCUUUGUGGAGUGCGUAGCUGUGCUUGAUUGCAUGGUGCGAAAUUCACAACAUUUACUUUGAGGAAAAUAGAGUGCUCACGGCAGGCAUAAGCCUUGUAUAUAUUAGCAUGGAAUAAUAGUGUAGGACUUUGGUUCUAUUUUAUUGGUUUCUAGAACUGAGGUAAUGUUAAACAGGGAUAGUUGGGGGCAUUUGUAUUAACGCGUCAGAGGUGGAAUUCUUGGAUUGCGUUACGACAACCUAAUGCGAAAGCAUUUGCCAAGGAUGUUUUCA
rnacentral:rRNA from 1 species